rnacentral:rRNA from 1 species
GUCCACGCUGUAAACGAUGGGCACUAGGUGUCCGGGGUAUUGACCCCCUGGGUGCCGCAGCUAACGCAUUAAGUGCCCCGCCUGGGGAGUACGAUCGCAAGAUUAAAACUCAAAGGAAUUGACGGGGGCCCCGCACAAGCGGUGGAGCAUGUGGUUCAAUUCGACGCAACGCGAAGAACCUUACCUGGGCUAGACAACGGUGGACCAUCCUAGAAAUAGGAUUUUCCCUUCGGGGACUGCCGGUUCAGGUGCUGCAUGGCUGUCGU